GAUUAAGAUUUUGUAUUGCUCAAUUUAAGUUCAAUAAGUAACAUAGAUCACAAAGUUUGCUAAUUUAUAUUGAUGCUUUAAGACUCCUUACAUGACGUUUCCGCAACACACCCGAGGUCAAAGUUCGUAUAUAUUAAAAUGCAACAAUGUGUAUAGUUCGUUAUUGAGGAUAAUGUAUAGAUUAUUUUACAUAGGGAAAGAUAUUUAUACGCUAUAGUUAAUUGUAACUGUUUAAUUUCAACUUAUGUUUACAUUAAAUGACAUCCUUAAGCCAACUUUACUAAUAUUGAUCGCUAUUUUCGUGUUAUACAUCUAUAAUCAUCUUGUUGUUAAAGAUUUGAAGCUUUGCUGCGAUAAUACAGCAGAGAAUUAUUCUCAUUAUGAUUUGGUCGUUGGAAUACUUUCAUCGCGCGGCAACUUUGAUUUGAGGCAAAGUUUACGUGAAUCAUGGGUUGGCUAUGCAAGACGACAUUCAUCUCUAAAUAAAAGAGUGUUGGUGAAGUUCAUCGUUUCAAAUAAUGCAUGUUACGUUCCUCCAGAGUUCAGGAUUGAUCCUUACAAAUGCGAAAGAAAGAAAAUCGAAUCUCCAAACUACGAAAAUGAAGUAAUUGCUUACAAACGACCAAAUGAAGAAAAUUUGAGAUAUUUUCACAGUGGAUCUAUCGGAUGGGACUUUGAUAUCAUCCGUCCCAUUAUUUUGACUCGUCUUGGCAUCUCUUUAUCAUCGUUGAAUUCAAAAAGAAACUCUUCUGUUCGACUCUACGACAGAACAACUAAGAGCGAAAUUAUAUCUGUUUAUUUCUCUUUCCAAGACCCUGGUACAACAGAAAACGGUUCGUCGUUUAAAGCAAUUGAAAACUUUAUUUUGCCAAAGGACUUCAAGGGCAGCGUCGUGUCUGAAAACGUAAAAUGUUCAAGUUCUCGAUGCAGAAAAUGCGAGUAUUUUGCCAACAUUGAAAACGGAGAGGAUUAUUUCAAUGUACACAAGAUAAGACGGAUUAACAACGAGUUCGCCGUCUUUCCCGAAGUCGAGGAAUCAAUUCCUGAUGCUAGAUGCGUGGAUGGGGCUGGAACGUUCAUGUAUCGACUUUACAAUUCUCCGGGGAAGAGAGUCGUGACAAAAGAGGAAGAAGAAACUCGAAUGUCGGAGUGGCAGCGAUUGAAAGACGAUGAGAAUGAACGUUUACUUAAAGAAAGCAGAACUAUUUCUGAUAUUCUUUUUGUUUCAAAUGUCGAUGUUUACAGAAAUCUUCCAUCCCAGUUGCUUCAGUUUUUCUCGUGGCUCUCGGCGACUUUAAGUUUUUCCUUUGUAAUGAAAACUGACGAUGAUUGUUUUGUUAACCUGGAGACCAUCUUACAGCUUUCGUACUGAUUGGUUGAUCGAGAGACAGGGAAAAUGGGCCGAGCCUGAUUAUCCGGGAGUGGCUUAUCCGACAUUUGCCUGCGGUGCGGGCAGCAUUAUAUCUUCGGAUAUUGUUCACUGGCUGGCAAAAAAACGAGAAAUCUCUAAAACGUUAUCAGGGGGAGGAUGUCUCUAUGGGUAUUUGGUUAUCAGCUAUUGCUCCUGAAAUUUAUAAGGAUGAGCGAUGGUCGUGUUUCGGGGAUUGUCAGAUGGAAAUGUUUACCUUGCCCGAGCAGGAUGCCGAUUCUCUUCUCUAUUUAUGGGAAAACUUUAUGUCCUGCGGUAAUCCUUGCAAAUGUUGAGGAGUUAAUCUUUAUGUGGAAACAUCUUCGUGGUAGUCAAGUUGUACCACAGUUCAUUGUCAAAUCUCAUCUUUCCUGAAACAGGAUCCAUAAAUAUUCUCUUCAGUAGAACACACGGCCAUAUUCCUCCAAGAAUCUUUUCAAUAUCACGAGGAUUCAACAGAAACGUUUGACAUGACCGUUAAAGUUUCUUCAUCGGAAACGCUACUACCGUUUGGUAGGGCGAUAAAACGAUCAGCGUUUUUAAUAUCUUCUAUUAAACUUCCACCUCUUUC